UGGGGAAUAUUGCACAAUGGGCGCAAGCCUGAUGCAGCCAUGCCGCGUGUAUGAAGAAGGCCUUCGGGUUGUAAAGUACUUUCAGCGGGGAGGAAGGGAGUAAAGUUAAUACCUUUGCUCAUUGACGUUACCCGCAGAAGAAGCACCGGCUAACUCCGUGCCAGCAGCCGCGGUAAUACGGAGGGUGCAAUCGUUAAUCGGAAUUACUGGGCGUAAAGCGCACGCAGGCGGUUUGUUAAGUCAGAUGUGAAAUCCCCGGGCUCAACCUGGGAACUGCAUCUGAUACUGGCAAGCUUGAGUCUCGUAGAGGGGGGUAGAAUUCCAGGUGUAGCGGUGAAAUGCGUAGAGAUCUGGAGGAAUACCGGUGGCGAAGGCGGCCCCCUGGACGAAGACUGACGCUCAGGUGCGAAAGCGUGGGGAGCAAACA
rnacentral:rRNA from 2 species